rnacentral:rRNA from 1 species
UACGUAGGAGGCAAGCGUUGUCCGGAAUUACUGGGUGUAAAGCGCGUGUAGGUGGUGGGCCAAGUCUGUGGUGAAAUCGCCCGGCUCAACUGGGCGAGGUCCGUGGAAACUGGUCGACUGGAGGACGGUAGAGGCGAGUGGAAUUCCCGGUGUAGUGGUGAAAUGCGUAGAGAUCGGGAGGAACACCAGUGGCGAAGGCGGCUCGCUGGGCCGGUCCUGACACUGAGACGCGAAGGCGUGGGGAGCGAACGGG